AUCUAAUCCAGAGUACCACGAGACACGUGAAACCUUGUGGGAAGCAGGGAGGACCACCUCCCAAGGCUAAAUACUACCUAGUGACCGAUAGUGAAGCAGUACCGUGAGGGAAAGGUGAAAAGAACCCCGGAAGGGGAGUGAAAUAGAACCUGAAACCGUGUGCCUACAACCGAUCGGAGCACGUUAAAGUGUGACGAUGUGCUUUUUGUAGAACGAGCCAGCGAGUUACGCUAUGUAGCAAGGUUAAGUACUUAAGGUAUGGAGCCGAAGGGAAACCGAGUCUGAAAAGGGCGAAAAGUUGCAUGGUGUAGACCCGAAACCGGGUGACCUAUCCAUGGCCAGGUUGAAGCGAGAGUAAAAUCUCGUGGAGGACCGAACCACGUUGGUGUUGAAAAACCAUGGGAUGAGCUGUGGAUAGCGGAGAAAUUCCAAUCGAACUCGGAGAUAGCUGGUUCUCCUCGAAAUAGCUUUAGGGCUAGCGUCGUGUAAUUGAGUAAUGGAGGUAGAGCACUGAAUGGGCUAGGGGCUAUAGUAGUUACCGAACCCUAUCAAACUCCGAAUGCCAUAUACUUGUAUCACGGCAGUCAGACUGCGAAUGAUAAGAUCCGUAGUCAAAAGGGAAACAGCCCAGACCAUCAGCUAAGGUCCCAAAGUGUAAGUUAAGUGGAAAAGGAUGUGGGAUUUCUAAGACAACUAGGAUGUUGGCUUAGAAGCAGCCACUCAUUUAAAGAGUGCGUAAUAGCUCACUAGUCAAGAGAUCCUGCGCCGAAGAUGUCCGGGGCUCAAACUUACCACCGAAGCUAUGGGUGUACACUAUGUGUACGCGGUAGAGGAGCUUUCUGUAUGGGUUGAAGUCGUACCGUAAGGAGCGGUGGACUGUACAGAAGUGAGAAUGCUGGCAUAAGUAGCGAGAAAUAAGUGAGAAUCUUAUUGGCCGAAAACCUAAGGUUUCCUGAGGAAGGUUCGUCCGCUCAGGGUUAGUCGGGACCUAAGCCGAGGCCGAAAGGCGUAGGUGAUGGACAAUCGGUUGAUAUUCCGAUACCACCUAUUUACGUUUGAGAAAUGGGGUGACGCAGUAGGAUAAGAUGUGCGCACUAUUGGAUGUGCGUCUAAGCACUUAGGCAUGCUUGAUAGGCAAAUCCGUCGAGCUAAGCUGAGGUGUGAUGGGGAGCCAUUUAUGGCGAAGUAUCUGAUUCCACACUGCCAAGAAAAGCCUCUAUCGAGUGAAUAGGUGCCCGUACCGCAAACCGACACAGGUAGGUGAGGAGAGAAUCCUAAGGCCAUCGGAAGAAUUGCUGUUAAGGAACUCGGCAAAUUGACCCCGUAACUUCGGGAGAAGGGGUGCCUACGAAAGUAGGCCGCAGAGAAUAGGCCCAAGCAACUGUUUAGCAAAAACACAGGUCUCUGCUAAAGCGAAAGCUGAUGUAUAGGGGCUGACGCCUGCCCGGUGCUGGAAGGUUAAGGGGAACACUUAGCGUAAGCGAAGGUGUGAACUUAAGCCCCAGUAAACGGCGGCCGUAACUAUAACGGUCCUAAGGUAGCGAAAUUCCUUGUCGGGUAAGUUCCGACCCGCACGAAUGGCGUAAUGAUUUGGGCACUGUCUCAACAGCAAAUCCGGCGAAAUUGUAGUGCAAGUGAAGAUGCUUGCUACCCGCGAUUGGACGGAAAGACCCCGUAGAGCUUUACUGUAGCUUAGCAUUGAAUCUCGGUAUUGUCUGUACAGGAUAGGUGGGAGACUUGGAAGCUUGGGCGUCAGCCUGAGUGGAGUCAUCCUUGGGAUACCACCCUGACAGUACUGGGGUUCUAACCGGCGGCCAUGAAUCUGGUCACGGGACAUUGUUAGGUG
rnacentral:rRNA from 1 species